ACCACCGCCCUCCAAACGCCCGAGCGGCGCCGGCUGGCCCCGAGCGGCCGUUAACUCACAGCCCCCGCGGCUGAAGGGACGUGGCCGUUACAGCCGUUAGCGCGGCCGGGUUCCUCCGGGGGACUGGGGCACAAACGGAGAGAGCGGGCAGGGCGCUGCUCCGCCGCCGGAACGGGACGGAGAGAGGAGGAGAGGUCAAUAAAAAGCCAGCUGGAUUUUGGAUAAGGGACAGAACAGGCAGGACAACCCGCAGAGAUUCCCUCAUGCCCCAAGGGGAUUCUGUGAGGCCCAGCAACCCCACAAAGCUGCAGGUGCAGAGACUUUGAUCCCUCAUAUUUGCCAAGGAAGCGCUGAGAUUUCUGGAAAACUUCAGUGCAGAUGCCCAACAAAAUGCUGCUCUCUAAAGGUAAAUUCACACACACUGACAAGCUGCAAG